rnacentral:rRNA from 1 species
AUGCAUCAAGGGACGCUUAGAACAGAGCUAUAUAGCGGUCUGCAAGAUGAAAUUGAUAAUGGUGAUACCAGAACUGAUCCAGUAGGUAAAGGAAUUAUACCACCUUCAUCAUAUAAUGGAAGUCCGAGGAAUAAACAUCAGUACUACCAGGAUGCAAUGGCCAUAUGUCGGUGGGCUGGAUAUCCAGAUCUGUUUAUCACUUUCACAUGCAACCCAAAGUGGACAGAAAUACAGAUCAUGUUGGACUUCAUAACAGGACAAAAACCAGAGGAUCGUCCAGACAUUGUCAAUAGAGUAUUCCUUAUAAAGCUGAAUGAACUAAUAGAAGACAUAUACAAAAAAAGCGGUUUGGAAAAGCAAUAG